rnacentral:rRNA from 1 species
CCUACGGGAGGCAGCAGUCGAGAAUCAUUCACAAUGGGGGAAACCCUGAUGGUGCGACGCCGCGUGGGGGAAUGAAGGUCUUCGGAUUGUAAACCCCUGUCAUGUGGGAGCAAAUUAAAAAGAUAGUACCACAAGAGGAAGAGACAGCUAACUCUGUGCCAGCAGCCGCGGUAAUACAGAGGUCUCAAGCGUUGUUCGGAAUCACUGGGCGUAAAGCGUGCGUAGGCUGUUUCGUAAGUCGUGUGUGAAAGGGGCGGGCUCAACCCGCGGACGGCACCUGAUACUGCGAGACUAGAGUAAUGGAGGGGGAACCGGAAUUCUCGGUGUAGCAGUGAAAUGCGUAGAUAGCGAGAGGAACACUCGUGGCGAAGGCGGGUUCCUGGACAUUAACUGACGCUGAGGCACGAAGGCCAGGGGAGCGAAAGGGAUUAGAUACCCUUGUAGUC